rfam:Prevotella sp. oral taxon 302 str. F0323 genomic scaffold supercont1.7, whole genome shotgun sequence.
GCCCAGGUGGCGGAAUGGUAGACGCGCUAGUUUCAGGUACUAGUGACAGCAAUGUUGUGCAGGUUCGAGUCCUGUUCUGGGCA